rnacentral:miRNA from 1 species
AGACUGACGGCUGGAGGCCCAU